GGCCGCAUGGAGUGAGUACUGUCUCUGGCCACCGAGCAGAGCCAGUGACAGCAGCGUCCUGGUAGGCAGGCAGGCGUAUCAGGUUUCAGAGGAUGCGGCUGGGAACGGGAGUAGAGGUGAGGGGUCGUUGCAUCUGUCGCGGUGUGUAUCUUUUGGGGGUUCAGCGCCACCAGCGACUUGGGCCUCAUUCAUCGCGCUUACAUUUCUCCACCUCAUUUGAAGAACGAGCUUCGUAGCCCACGGAGCUGAGGUAUAUGAGCUCCCUGAAAGCACAAAGCAGUUAUUUCCAUCUUCAGAUCAUUCAGAGAUUAUGAAGGCACAAACCCUGCCUUCAAUUUGCUUAUAGUCAAGUGGAGCAGACACAAGUCAAUGAUUGCAGUAUAGCCACUGAAGUAAUCUAAAAGAGACUUAUCAGCAGGUUGCAGGUGAACAUGGCCUUGAGGUUAUUCAAGGACACGGAAAAGCCAACACCAUGGUAGCAUUAAUGAACGUUUACCAAGAGGAAGAUGAAGCAUACCAGGAAUUGGUUACCGUGGCAACCAUGUUCUUCCAGUACUUAUUGCAGCCAUUUAGGGCUAUGCGAGAAGUUGCAACUUUAUGUAAGCUUGAUAUUUUGGAAUGCAGAAAGAAAUGGAACAGGAUGCGAAGAGAUUUGGUCAGGCUGCCUGGGCCACAGCAAUUCCCAGGUUGGAAAAACUUCAGCUAAUGCUAGCUCGAGAGACUCUGCAACUCAUGAGAGCGAAAGAGUUGUGUUUAAAUCACAAAAGAGCUGAAAUUCAGGGAAAGAUGGAAGAUCUUCCAGAAC
rnacentral:lncRNA from 1 species